rnacentral:rRNA from 1 species
UACGGAAGGUGCGAGCGUUGUCCGGAAUCACUGGGCGUAAAGGGCGCGUAGGCGGCGCGGCAAGCGUGCGGUGAAAGCCCGGGGCUCAACCCCGGGUCGGCCGUGCGAACUGCCGGGCUCGAGCACUGUAGAGGCGGGUGGAAUUCCGGGUGUAGCGGUGGAAUGCGUAGAGAUCCGGAAGAACACCGGUGGCGAAGGCGGCCCGCUGGGCAGUGGCUGACGCUGAGGCGCGACAGCGUGGGGAGCAAACAGG